UACGGAGGAUGCGAGCGUUAUCCGGAUUUAUUGGGUUUAAAGGGUGCGUAGGCGGAUCGUUAAGUCAGUGGUCAAAUUGAGGGGCUCAACCCCUUCCCGCCAUUGAAACUGGCGAUCUUGAGUGGAAAAGAAGUAUGCGGAAUGCGUGGUGUAGCGGUGAAAUGCAUAGAUAUCGCGCAGAACCCCGAUUGCGAAGGCAGCAUGCCGGCUUCCUACUGACGCUGAAGCACGAAAGCGUGGGGAUCGAACAGG
rnacentral:rRNA from 1 species